UUCGUGCGGCAUUGCUACCGUGACGGAACUCCUAUUCCGUAAUUACUCGUAUUUUUAUCGUGUCCAUAUUGAGGUAAAAGAUACAAAUAUAGUAAUCAAUAAACAAGUGACUGAAUAUGAAAAUAAUAUUACAUAUUUUUUAAAUAAAUUUGAUUUAAAUUUCAAAUUUAUUACCAGCCAUACAUAAAUUACGUUUUAAAUGACCUGUAUUAUAAAACGGCAAAUUCAUAGCAGGCACCAAGUCCAACAUCACGACUGUUUGCCGUUCUCAUUGUGAACAAAAGCGCCGGCACGGUGAGACUUCGUACGCAGAACCAGCGAAGGGGGACACAAAACCAACAUCCUUCGCAUCACCUCACGUAUUUAUAACCCCACAUUGGCUUCCGGCUUUUUGUUGAUUUCUACUAAAAGUACUUUUGUAAAGCUUUACCCAAACUAUUUUAAAGUUUCAUAAAUCGUUUUUUUUUGUGAUUAUAUUAGUAUUUGUAGUAGAUAAUUUAAGUCUGCUAAUGAAAAUAAAAGUUCGUAGUUAGUUUCUGGUCCAAUCACUAAAUUAAAGACAGCAUACCUUUUUGAGAAAUAAUUAAUGAAUUUUGUAAAAAAUUCACAAAAAGAACAAAUAUACUUCCAACACUAAAAUUUACAGAAUCGAGAACGACGAAUUUUUUGUUGUGAGAAAUAAUAUUUUCAUUAUUAUUGUUAUAUACAUGAUACACGUCGUAAGCUAAACAGUAACAAAAACAAAUAAAAAAAAUUAAGCCUGACAUACUUACCUACUUAAUUGUGUUAAAAUUUGUGUCAAUAUGGUAGUUUUUAUUAAAAUUAUUUCAGCAAAUAUAGUUAAUUUUUUUGCCAUAUUGUUUCGAUAUAUUUAAAUAAAAGUUUUAUUUCCUAGUUUUUAUAUCCCCGUGCGUCUUUUUAAUAGUAGUUGAAGCACUAUAUAAUAUUUGUAUAAUCGAAAAUAUGUAUUAAAUAGGUAUUUAGCCUCCCAUAAAUAUAAUUCUUUUGAGAUUAUAAUGAUGUUCACGGGAGGGAGCUCGUAGCAGAUUGUCGCUCGGUAUUAUCGGAUUGCACAGAUUUAAUUAUAUGACGGAAUAUUUUCUUAAAUUGUCUGUCCCAUCGUGUGUGCAAAUAUCUAUAUUGUCGUUUUUCUUCCCUUAAUUAAAUUGUUUGAUUUUGUAUAGCUGUUUUUUUCUAGCGUGUCCAAUUUUGUAUAUCUGAAUUUUAUCAUUAAUUGUGUAUUAUUUUUCAAUGAUAUUUAUAUUUAUUUAGUUUGCCCAGUUAUAAAAGUUUAUCAAUGCUCACUUUGUAUAUGCAACUUGAGCGCGCGUGACGAUUACGGAAGGGGUGCCCAUUACUGCCCAUACAGUUAUUUAAUUACAGUUUUGAUGGCGUAAAUAUAAACACUUCUAAAUUUAAUGAUUAAUAUUCUUCUAAGUAGUGUUUCGGGGAGCUAUCUCCUAUUUUUUUCCAUACCUAUUCGCUACCAGCGAUAAUAAGAGGCCCUGAUGGAUAGGUAAGUUCACGGGAUCAACCUGAGAGAAUUUGCUAACACGAACCCUAGCAAGAGCAGUGCUUCGCAGAAUCUACCACCGGAUCGGAAACGUGACCCACUAAAAAGAUCCGGCGAGAAAAUCAGUGGGCUAGCUACCUGCGCAAACAUCACUAGACGCAUUAUUUAAAAUUAUAAGCUUUGGUAGGUACCUAUUGAGGGCAGUGAGUUUUAAAAUGUUCUGUUUUAUAAAGGAAACAUAAUAUUAUUGUUCAACAUUUUAACACAUUUGUCGAUUUUCUUAAUAUUGCUAUGACUCAGUGAUAUCGUCACAAAAACUCGUUUACAUAACGAUAAACCAGGCGGCAACGAAGGAACAAGGUUGAAUCGACAGGUUAGUACACGUCGCUACGAGUGCCUGUGUGUCCGUGCUCGUAUAUACGUAUAUAACAACACAAACACAAAUUUGUCGCACGGGAGACAGGAUGUCGCACACAAUGAAAUUCUCGUGCUGCUAUCUGAAUUGCUCACUCAUUCGUAAAGUGUAAGCACAGAAUAAUUCAGUGUAACCCGUAGGUAUACUAACAACUAUGCUUCUAUGUUACUAGGUAUUCGUUUAAUUCAAACUUUUACCCAUAUACGAUGAAUAAGGUUAAUAUGUAUGUUCAUUGACAGACAUGAGUCGUCUAUUAUCAAAGGUGGCAAUCUGUGCAUUUGGACAAAAAAAAUUUAUUGAUAUGUCAAUACAGAUUGAUUUGAAUAUAAUCGUCUCCUUCAAAGAAUACGGUUCAAAACCUGCAUUAAAUAAAGGUUAAUAGUUAACCUGUUAUUUAUCUAAGAUGUCGUUCCGAAGAGUUUCGUGACUGCCAAUGGAAUACAAAGUCAAUAAUUCGUUUUUCUGAUUUACCAAUCAUUGUCCAAAAGUCAGAUUGCCGGCUUUGAUAAUAGUUGACUCACAUGUUAAAAUCAUAAUUAUCAUAGAACAUAUUUGUAUUAAUUAAGUAUAUGAAUUAUACCUUCUGAUGGUUCGAAGAUCUCACAUGAUAAUUACACGAUUCAGUAGGCUUUCCAGGUAUUAAUCAGAAGAUAUGUAUGUGUAGGUGGCUGUUCCGUCUUCCUAUAACUACUAUUAAUUUACACUAGUAAAGUUACUAAUUUUUUUUUUUUAUUGCCUUUGUAGGCAGACGAGCAUAUGGCCCACCUGAUGGUGAGUGGUUACCGUCGUCCAUGGACUUGAGCAAUGCCAAGGGCAGAGCCAAGCCGCUGCCUACCGCAAUACUAGUUUUCCAUUAUCUGUUCGUAGCAGUGUAUCUUUUACUAAGCCCACCUUUAAUUUCUAGGUAGCUAUUCGUAUACAAAGCCAACCUAUACAAAGUCACCUAACAAGUAUAUGCUUGUAAGUAGUAUUUGAAAAAUAUUUUUAUGACGUAGUACUAGUUUAACUGUUCAAUAAUCUGCAUAUUUUUAAAACUAAAACUUAUUUUUAGAAUAAAUAUUGAAAUCCAGAUUCCGUUUUAAUACUUGGAAUACAUUAAAUAAAUACUGCAAUUCACAGUGUCAGUUCCUAAAAUGUACUUCCACGAAUUAUUCUUAAUUUUUUUAUUUGAUUAACUCAAAUAAGCUUAAAUAUACUUAUUUUUAUUAACGAUGAUUCAAAUAGUACCUACCUACUUGAGAAACGUAUUGAAAUAAAAAAUGUGCAGAUAAUUGGGUUUAUUCAAACUGCUUAAAUAAAAUAAAGCGCAAUAAAUGUUUCCUGGGUGACAGGUUUGGAGUCGUUGUUUUCGUAAAAUGUUAAAAUAAAUAAAUAAACUUACCUACAUUUGUGGGCCCGGACCGUGAGAUCAUGCCAUUGAUAAAUACUGGCCACAGAGUCCGAGCUAAAAGGGAAAUUGUGUUGGAAUGUCUGCUGCGGUUAGGGUUGCUGUCACUCCAAUGCUCUUCGAGCACUACUAACGACCUCUUAAUAACAAUUAAGUAUUCUAAACCUUUUUUGGAAUGAAAUACCUACGCAGUGGAUUUUUAAAUAAAAGUUAUUUUUUUGCAUUUUCUAGGUACGUAUAUAUUGAUAUCCCUGAAAAAUCAAACUAGAUAAUAAAUUUACGAAGCAUAUUUAAGGUAUUUUUAAAUUAGUUUAAUAUUUAGAUUAAACAGAAGUUGAAAACUAAAUGUUAUGUGUAUGCACAUAAAUGUGGAAAAAAAAAAGAUAAAUGUUAAAGUUUGAAUUUUAAUAUAUCUAGUGACAUCCCUGCAUGCUGAAUGAUGUACUCCCACUCACUACAGAGACUCGGUUGACGACAAACCUUGUAAUUCUUAAUCUAAAGCACUGUAUCCUAACAUGGUAAAUACAUCCUGUUUAUAAUGAUAUCAUACGUGUUACACUGUAAAUGAUAGCUGCUCGACCCAAACUAUGGGCAUGGCGCGAACUUUAAAUGUCCCACGCAAGAAAGAUAAAAAUGCAAUAGCCUUAGGCUCGUAACAUCAACUGUAGUUUAAGCCAAAAUCAAAAGUUUAAGCGAUCACUGGCGAUCAAUUCGUAAUUUCAAUAAUAGAUAAACUCUCUUUCGGAGUUAAAACUACCUCAAAGUUUAAGCAGGCUACGAAGGAGCAACAAAACUGUGAAAUUGGACUUAGCCGUUCUUUUCAAAAUGGCCGCUCACAAUCAACAGCUGUUGUUUUGUGACAGACUCACUAAAUAGAUAGGUACAUCUAUGAACAUGUUCUUAAACUUUUUAUUAUUAUUUUGUAAUAUAUUAACGCAUUGGAUCAAUGAAUUAUUAUAUUUUCGAUUAAACUUUGUUUCCGAUCAACAUAUUUUUUGGAAAAACCUUUUCAUCAAUAAUGUAAAAUUACAAACAAAUUUUAAUUGAACACCUUAGGUACAUAAAAAUACCACUAAAGCAUUACCGAUAAGAAAUCACAUUAAUUGUAUCAAUUACCUACCUUAGAUUUUGAUUUAAGAUAUCAACACAUUCAAUUCUUACGUUAUAUUAUAUUUCUCUGUUCUUAUUUCACUAUAUAUGUGGACUUAACCUGUAAAACUUAAAUUGUUCCACCUGCACAUCGGCAUCCUUUACCUUAUUUUUAAGUAUUUAGUCGGAAACCAUUCAGUAUCGUUUUUAUAAUACCAAAAUAAUAAAUUACAUCCCAUAACAAACGCAUGUCGGAUAUUUUCUGUAUAUUAGAAUAUACAUAUAAUUAUGUAAAUGUAAAAUAAACUGUUAUUGAUUAA